CACCUCCGCAGGCACAUCACACCGUGACCUAGAAAAUUCUUCUUCCCUGCCUCUCCGUUGAAGUCGAGAAGGACUAGCCAGAGAGCGAGAGCCUCAACCAGCUCAAACCCAAAAGCAGCGGGGCCGGGUGAGGAGAUCGACGAAGAGAGAAAGGGAGAGUUUUUUUUAUAAAAAUAAUAAAUAAAUAAAUAAAAAUGGGGAAGAUUCCGGUGAAGGUGAAGGCGGUUGUGUACGGACUCUCGCCCUUCCAGCAGAAGAUCAUGACCGGGCUCUGGAAGGACGUCCCGGGCAAGAUCCAUCACAAGGUCUCCGAGAACUGGACCAGCGUCGUCCUCCUCCUCGCCCCUCUCGUCGGAACCUACACUUAUGUUCAGAAUUUCAAGGAGAAGGAAAAACUGGCCCACAGGUACUAAGUUGUUUGAGAUGAUCAUCUUUCUGGAAAAUGUAAGAGGAUGUGCAGUUAUGCUGUGAUCUGCUUGUGAUUUUGGACUUUGUGCUGUUUUCCAAGUUGUGUUCGGUCAUGUCGUCGAGUAGUGUUGCUAACACUUCGAAACCUUGUACGUGCUCUUUAUAUUAUGCCGACUGCACUUCUGUAGAACAUAUUGUCACUGUAUUUUUGUGCGCGACUUUCACCAUUUCUUAUCUUGUUUUCAUUUGGGUUGUCUGAUCGAAGGUCCUCAAUGUUCCGGUGCAUUCUUGCUAA